AUUUGACCUGCCCACUGAAAAUUUAAAUGGCCGCGGUAUUUUGACCGUGCAAAGGUAGCAUAAUAAUUAGUUUUUUAAUUGAAAGCUGGAAUGAAUGGUUGGACGAGAAAACUUCUGUCUCUGGUUAAUUUUAAUAAAAAUUUAUUUUUAAGUAAAAAAGCUUAAAUUUUUUUUAAAGACGAGAAGACCCUAUAGAGUUUUAUAAGUGAAUUUAAUUGUUUUUUUAUGAAUUAUUUAAUUAUUUUUUAUUUAUUUAUUUUAUUGGGGUGAUGAAAAGAUUUAAUUAACUCUUUUUUUAUUUGUACAUUUAUUUAUGAUUUUUUGAUCCAAUAUUUUUGAUUAUAAGAUUAAAUUACCUUAGGGAUAACAGCGUAAUAUUUUUGGAGAGUUCUUAUCGAUAAAAAAGAUUGCGACCUCGAUGUUGGAUUAAAGUUAAUUUUUGAUGCAGAAGUUAAAAAAUUGAGUCUGUUCGACUUUUAAAACUUUACAUGAUCUGAGUUUAAACCGGCGUGAGCCAGGUUGGUUUCUAUCUUGAUUUUUAUAGAAUAUUUUAGUACGAAAGGACCAA
rnacentral:rRNA from 1 species